rnacentral:misc_RNA from 1 species
AGACGAUUCAACAGGCGAAAGAAAACAAAAAUUAAAGAAAAUUAGAUUGACUAUAAAAUUAUGCAUUCCUAGCAAAGAAUUAGUUGAAAAAAUCACAGAUUAAUGGAAGCGGUGAUGGUUGAUGCCAAGUGAUUGCACUAGAUCUCGUUAUAUUUUUAGCCUUUGGGUAUGCAACCGUUGGAUGGGUGCAAGGUUGGUGCCGCCGAUUAGUGUUAACGAAGAUGAUCGAGUAUUUAGUCGCAAGUGAAGUAGAGAGGUGGCUGCCACUGGGAGAGUGCAAAUUGAGGGCUUUGUUAAAGAAGAGAG